rnacentral:lncRNA from 1 species
UAUUUUGAUCGUGUAAGGUGGCAAUCUUAUACAAACCACACCCAUUACAAUUUACACAUUCCGUACUAACUCUGUAGACAAUAAACGCUUUCUUUAAUACUCCCCCUCAAACUCAAGAAGCUACAAGAGAGAGCAGAUGGAGUUUGAACAGCCGGAGCAUGCAGCACUAAAGCCCAGCAAGUGAACCCGGCCCUUCAACUUGAAGAUAAUGGCUGAUGCCAAAUUGUAUGGAAGCAAAAAUCAAGAAACAAUUUAUUGUUUUAUAUUUUGGAGGCAAUUCCUCGAACAAUUGGACGACAUGCUCAUUGUCAUCGCACUCUCAGAGAAUGGGUCCCUCGGGGGCCUCGCAACCUGUCUCAUCGUGCUCCAUGUUUUUAUGUCCUCUGAUGGCGACAACAAAAGAUAAAAAAGGAGCACUCCUCUGCGUAUAACCUCCCUCUUCUCUCUCAAAGGAAACCUAGCAACUAGAACAAGGGGCAUCGUGAAUCAAUACGACGUGGCCAAAGUUUAACAACAAAAACCCUAUCUCCCAGGUGACGGAAAAUUUGCCGAGAAACACCUAAAUUGGCCGGAAACUUUUGUUGGUAAAUCACAAAAGAGGAGAGGAGAGAGAUAGUGGAGGAGGGUUUUGAGGGAAAGGGCUGGAUCUGAUAUUCGAAAAUGAUCUUUACAAGAACUUAUGAAAUGGUACAAUCCAAGACUGAUUAGAAAGCCUAAGCAUUUAGCAACAAAAGAUAUGAAUAAGGCAAGGUCGAGCAAUGGCACAUCCAAGUUUUUGAAACAGAAGGCAAGAAGAGGGCCAGCUCAAGUAACAGUAGAUCAACAAACUCCAGCAGUGGGAAAAAAAAAACUUCAGGUUUUUACUAGAAACAUAAAAACAAUCGAGACGGUUAAAAGAACAGAAUGUGCUGCUCGUAGAUAAGAAAAUAUAGGAUGGAGCAAUAGUGGAACAACAAACUCAAGCAAUGCACAGAUGAUCUUUGGUUCUGAUACCAUGUUAUAUCUGCAGGUUUUUCUGAAGAGAC